CUCAGAAGCACGUGCGCCUUACGUAAUUUCCUGUUAUUCUUCGGUUUGCCUCCUCCCAGUGGCGUGGAUUUGCUCCCGACCCGCUUUUGGGGCGUGCCUGCUUCCUCCUCUCUGUUAGGUCUCGCUCUGUCACCCAGGCUGGAGUGAAAUGGCACAAUAUUGGCUCACUGUAACCUCCGCCCCCAGGUUCGACUGAUUCUCGUGCCUCAGCCUCCUCAGUAGCUGGGAUUACAGAUGAGGCCCAGAGAGGCGAAGCCACUUGAGCUCGUGAGUGACAGUCAGAUCUCAAGCCCUGCUCUUUCUAAAGCGUGCUGCCUUCAGAAAAGAAGAGCCAGAAGGAUGGAAAUUACUUUAGAAAGAUAAAUACCAGCUUUGAAGGAAUAAAAGCUGACAAGGAAUUGAAGGAGUUGAGGCACAAGCUUGAACAGGGUUGCAUGUUUGGCCCUUGAUUGUAAAUGCCCAUUGCUGCACCUGUUCCUGUUACUUGGGGAGUUGCAGCAGAAGGAACAGCAGCCUGGGACUCCAGAGAACUGGGUUCCCUCUCAUCUCUCCAGGGCCACCACUUCUUGUGGGCCCUUGGGCAAGUCACUGUACUUUCUGAGUCUCAGUUUCCCCAUUUGCAGAAUGGAAAUAACUACCCCGGUCUACCAACUUAGAAGAAUUGCUUUGAGGAUCUGAUAAGGUGGUGUGGAUGAUGCUGCCUUGGGGGCUUUACAGUCUGGAGCUCAAGGGACCCCUUAAGUUGGGCUUACUUAGUAACUCCAGGGGUGGGCAGAACAGGACUCCAAUGAGGGUUUUUUUCUUUUUCCCUUUUUUUUCUUUUCGUAUCUCUUAACUUUUAUCUUUAUUAUUUUACAAUGCCCUUGUAAGAUGAAACAAGUGAUGCUGAAAUAUCUUUUUUCUUUUUUAACCUUUAUUUUAGAAUUGGGGUACAUGUGCAGGUUUGUUGCAUAGGUAUAGUGUGGGCUGCUGAGGUUUGGAGUACGAAUGAAUUAGUCACCCCAGUGGUGAGCAUAGUGCCCGAUAAGUAGUUGUUUCAACCCUUACUCCCAUCCCUCUCCAUUCUUGUGUUCCCCAGUGUCUGCUGUUCCCGUUUUUAUGACCAUGUGUACUCAAUGUUUAGCUCCCACUUAGAAGUAAGAACAUGCCCAGCACUUUGGGAGGCCGAGGUGGGUGGAUCAUGAGGUCAAGAGAUCGAGACCAUCUUGGCUAACACAGUGAAACCCUGUCUCUACUAAAAACAUAAAAAAUUGGCCGGGUGUGGUGGUGGGCACCUGUAGUCCUAGCUACUCGGGAGGCUGAGACAGGAGAAUCGCCUGAACCGGGGAGGUGGAGGUUGCAGUGAGCUGAGAUUGUAACCACUGCACUCCAGCCUGGGUGACAGAGUGAGACUCCAUCUCAAAAAAAUAAAAAUAAAAAAAUAAAAAGAAUGUGGUGUAUGA
rnacentral:lncRNA from 1 species